AGUCAGAGAGCCGUGUCUCUCUACAGUGAGAGGUUUUUGUACGACGGCUCAAUCAGUUUGUAUCACUGUGGAGGACUUUUGGUGGAGGAACCAGACUGGAUGUUAACUUGGGUGAUGUGCGCCCCACCCUGACGGUGCUGCCCCCCUCCAGAGAAGAGCUGGAGCAGGGGAAGGCCACCCUCAUGUGCCUGGCCAACAAGGGCUUCCCCUCAGACUGGAGUCUGGCCUGGAAGGUGGACGGCAGCAGCAGCAGCAGCAGCAGCAGCAGCAGCUGGGAGGAGAGCAGGAGCCCCGGGGUGCUGGGGAAGGACGGCCACUACAGCUGGAGCAGCACCCUGAGGCUCCCUGCAGACCAGUGGAGGAAGGUGGGCUCUGUGACCUGUGAGGCCACCCAGGGCUCCCAGACUCCGCUCUCAGAGACACUGAGGAGAGACCAGUGUUCCCAGUCCUGAGCUGACUCACUGGCAGGGACUCUGCUACUGGUUUUACUCUGACACUGCUCUCACUCUGCUCUCUGCUACUAGCUCUGGCUUUUAUUUCACCUGGUUCAGUAGACACAUUUACCAGCUUGUUGCAAUCUUUCAAUAUUAUUUCACUGU